rnacentral:rRNA from 1 species
AGUGAACGCUGGCGGUAGGCCUAACACAUGCAAGUCGAACGGCAGCACAGUAAGAGCUUGCUCUUACUGUUGGCGAGUGGCGGACGGGUGAGGAAUACAUCGGCAUCUACUUUUUCGUGGGGGAUUACGUAGGGACACUUACGCUAAUACCUCAUACUACCUACGGCUUAAAUCAGGGGAUCUUCGGACCUUUCGCGAUUCAAUUAGCCGAUGUCGGAUUAGCUAGUUGGCUGGGUAAAGGCCCACCAAGGCGACGAUCCGUAGCUGGUCUGAGAGGAUGAUCAGCCACACUGGAACUGAGACACGGCCCAGACUCCUACGGGAGGCAGCAGUGGGGAAUAUUGGACAAUGGGCGCAAGCCUGAUCCAGCCAUACCGCGUGGGUGAAGAAGGCCUUCGGGUUGUAAAGCCCUUUUGUUGGGAAAGAAAAGCAGCAGGUUAAUACCCCGCUGUUCUGACGGUACCCAAAGAAUAAGCACCGGCUAACUUCGUG